AUGGACUUAGGGCUCAUAUUGGUUUUCUUUGUCCUUAUUUUAAAAGGUCUCCAGUGUGAGGUGCAAUUGCUGGAGUCUGGUGGAGACUUAGUGCAGCCUGGAAAGUCCCUGAAACUCUCCUGUGCAGCCUCUGGAUUCACCUUCAGUAGUCAUGCAAUGGCCUGGGUCCGCCAGGCUCCCGAAACUGGGCUGAAGUGGGUGGCAACCAUUAUUUACGAUGGUACUGUCACCUACUAUACCGACGCUGUGAAGGGCCGGUUCACAAUCUCCAGAGACAAUGCCAAGAACACUCUGUACCUGGAAAUGAGCAGUCUGAGAUCUGAAGACACAGCCACGUAUUACUGUACAAGAGACACAGUGAAUGAAUGUUACUGUGGACUCAGACAAUAA